GGGGAGAAAAAGAAAAACAAAACAGAUUGGCGAGUUGUUAGCUCAGGAGCCAAUAUUUAAAAAAAAAAAACACGGGAAUUUCAAGAAGGUGACAGAAGAACCUUAAGCCAAGUGCGGGGCCCUUCUGAAUGUUGGGCCUGUAUAACCGCACAGGUCAUACACCCACGAAGCAGGCCCUGCCUGCAAACACAGCUCCUACACAAGUGUUUCUCCAAGGAUUGUCACUCAACCACUUGCCUCAGAAUCACCUGGGUUACCUGGCUAAAGCACAGACUCCUGGGCUCAUGGAAUCAGAGCUUUAGUGGGUGGUGACCAGGAAUUUGCAUUCUAGGCAACACUCCAGGUGAUGUGGAUGUACAGUAGUUUGAAAACCACUUCCUGACCACUUGGACUCACUAAGAUGCCUGGGCUAUUUCUGGAAACUAUAUACAUAUACCAAAUGACCAGAAACAGCUAAGUACGAACCAUUAAAUUGUGUGUUCAGUGAGUAGAGACUGGAAUUCCAGCAGAAAUUCCUGGCUCUUAGUCAUGGUCCUAAAUACUUCAGACAGAUACCAUUGUACUGUUGACCAUUGCAGUUGUAUGAAGUCUAGGUGGGAGGCCUAGAUUCCAGCUGAAGGUGCUUCUAAAAUCUCAGAGUUGGAUUUCUUAAAGCCUGCUACCAGCCACCAAGUCCAUGCUUAGAACAGUGUCACCAGGUCCUUCCAAUAUUGACAGAUGACUAACACCAAGUGAAAACCUUCAGGCAGCAUCUAUUUCUAAAGAAGUCUGCAUCACCAAUAACGCAGUCCUCAACUUUGCUGCACAACAUAGCAGGUGCCCACCUUAAGGAGCUGACGCCACAUCUGUGCACGGAUUUAGGUUCUUUCCCGGCACAGAUGUCUUUAUUAUUACAAAAGAAACUGCUCAAAUAUCUCACAAUAUCUUUCACAAUUUUAACCUAAAACAUGAUAUUGCCUUUCGGGAGGAGUGUGAAAUUUGUGAUAAAUUUUCAGUAAGUCAUUAUAUUCAUAAAUUAGGGAUAGAGAUGGAGUUUGGGAUUCUAUAACUUUCAUGGCAAUAAAGAAAAGAGCAUGCAAAAUAUUAUACAAAGGUGAUUCUAACUUUCCUGCUCUGGAGAGAAUCUAUUUUGAAUAAAAUCUCUAUACUUUAAAAGGCGAUUAUGCUGCUCUCUAUGUACGAAAUUUAAAACCACUUUUACUUUUUGACUACCUAUACUUCCAAAGCAAUUUGCAGAAGGUAAUUAAACUUAAACUUUAAAUCAUGUGGGUAUCAUUUCCCUGAAAGUUUCAAAAUGAACCACAGAGACUUUCGUGAUCUGAAUGCCAAGAUAAAACACAAAAGCCACCAGCCAGAGUAUUUCUUUACAACCAUAUCCUCAAAACAAUAAGAUGCAAAAGAUGUAAAAACUGUGGUAAUUGUAUCCAUAAGAUAUACUGCAUUGUAGCUGUCCCAAGUCCCUAAAGCAUAGAUCGUAUUCCUUCUAUCCAAGCGAGUCGGCAUGAAAUUAAACGUCAGCCAUGCACAAGGGCACGAAACAAAUGUAUAAAUUCCCUGUUUUUCAGAAUGAAGGUUGUCUUUACCUUUAAAAACACAUAUUUACCUUUAAUAAUGACAACAUACUAAUUAAGGGAAUUUUAUAAUCUUUAUAAAUUAUAUCUCAAAGUGCCCCUAGUGAAAAUAAGUCACAAAGGUAAAUGGACGUGCCUACCCAUUAAAAAAAUGUAUAGCAUUUUCUCAACACUGUAAUCUUUUAUUCUGUCACUUUUAACGUAUUGAUUAAUAUUCGACUACCACUUUCUAAUUUAUUAUACCUGAUAUGUUUCAAAUUCAUAGAUCUCUUUGUUAUUGAGAGGGAAAAGCCGAAUCGAAAGCAGGUUAAUAACACACAUAUGUGCUCACACACCCACAUCUGUGGGACAGGCGGCAGCUUAAAUAUCAUACUUGUGGCUUUUUAAACAUCGUUAAACAUUGCCUUGCAUUUCACGAGCCAGUCCAGGCUUUGAUUGGUGACUUCUGAUCACUGACUGCAGACACAUGAACAUGACAGUCACCCAAGCACAGGCUGCUGUAAAGACAGCAGGGACUCUCCUUACCAGAGACUUCCCGUCUCUUCUUCCCCCUCUUCGGCUGUUGCCUAGAACCAUCUGUCCUCUCAUAGUACACCGAGGCCUGAAUGAAAAGGUCUGUUUCUCCUUCCUCACUAGCAGAUAAAGCUAUUAGAAAACAUUGAUAGAGGAGUGUGCUUGCUUAGAGACCACAAAGGAGGACAGGUGUGAGCUUCCACUAAUCCCUGGAUGGACCAGAAUCACUGGCUGGAAGCAACAGUGGAUGUAAAGGCAAGCUGGUCCCCUGCAGCCAAGAGGCAAGGAACAGGAGGCCAGAAGCACUUGUGUGGAGGGAAGGAGAACUGAGGUUCAAUAGCAGGAGCUCCAGGACCCCAACUUGCCUGACUCCCGGAAUCUUUAUCCCCCUCCUGUUCAUUUCUACCUGUCUUUCUCUUUUUAGCCCAGUAGUGAUCAAGUACUUGCAUAAACUAAGACGCUGGUCAGUAGCAGAGUUGGAAUCUAUUUAACUGUAUUGCCCUUAGUGUCAAUUACUUUAAAUUUAAUAACGAAAACUGUGAUCAAACUAUUUGUGUUAUACAUAUAGUUUUUUUAACUAAAAGAAAACUAAAUGCAUAUAACUUACAUGCACCAAUCACCUAAAACCAGAGGAAAAAACACAAGUUUCUGCUGAGAUAGAGGUGCCUCAAAAUAUUUUUAAAAAUAAUAUAAAUUAUGUUUCAGAGCUGGCUCUUAAACUGUAAGUACUCAUCACCUAAAGCUUCUGAGUGGUGAAAACAACAAAAUGCAAGCUUGCUCCACUGUGCAUUUCUGCUACUCCCUUAGCUCUUAUUAACAUCCAAGCAGGAACACAAAACGAAAGUCCAGUCUGGAAGGAAACCAGCUUCCAAAAGAACCCACCUCCAUAUCAAGCCUGAAAUUGUGAAUUCUAGAUAAAAAAAAUUAUAAAAUUUUGAACUGGAAAAAAGCUUAAAGAUUCAUUUAUACAUUUAACCAAGAUUUAUUUACAGAUGAACAAUUUUGUACCAGGAAUGAUUUAAGAAAGCAAUGAACUAGAAAGAGGCUAAGCAAACUUUUUUGCACCACAGCAAAUUCAGGAAGAAUAAAAAUGUUUAUAGAACUUACAUGUAACAUUAAAAAUGGACAUAGCCAUAUUGAGCCCCAUGGAAAGACAUACAUAUUUCUAACAGACUGCUUACUUUAUUUAACAGAAGCUUGCCACUACCUUUUGGCUAACAAUAUUAUCAUCUGGGAUAUUUAAGAGGUAAUAGCAAUUUCAUAAAUGGGCGUGGGCAGUUUUAUAAAUGCUCAUCCUGAAAUGAGGUAACGAAUAGGUGGCCUCAUUUCUUCUGCUGGCAAAGUGCUUGGCAUUGAUCCACUCAAUCGAGCUCACAUGGAGAAGAGGAAGCCAAUCUGAGGGGUUGGAGCCUCGUCUCAGGGCACACGGUUAGCAUCCUGCUGGAGGAGAAUGGCCUCCAGUGUCCUAAUGCAUUCCUCUCGUAUUUCAAAUUUGAUUGGCUUCCAUUUUCUGUUAGAUUAUUUCUCAACAAAAACCAGGAGAAAAUGAUGACCCAGUAUCCAGAUUCCAGACACUGGCAACACUAGUGAAGGCGUCGAGGCAGUGAUGCUGGGGGGGGGGAGCAUCGCAGAUGGGGAAGAGGAUGUGCUGUGAGAACAAAGCAGCUGUUUAUCCUUCUGGAUUAUUUUGAGUCAAGUUAUUUAAUUUGACUUAUAAAUAACAUUAAAGUAGGGUAUGAGAUCUUUAUGUUUAUUGAAGGGGGUCUAUGAUUAAAGAGAGCCGAGAAACACUGAGUUAAAGAAAUUUCUAUCCUUAACAAAACAACAUCAAACAAAACACCCCCAGAAAGGACCUGAGGCCGUUGGAGCGAACACCGCAAGGCCUGCCCUUUCUUCAGCUUAGUGCCAACAACUCUGAAUGGCAAGAAGUCAUGCCGGGCACAUCGGGGUCACCUUGCAAGAGCUGUCAUACAUCUUUACAACUUUGAUGUGCUCUCCAAGAUGAGCAAAAAGGAAAAAAAAAUGGAUCUGGAGCAAAAACGGUCACUGUGAAGGUCGUUUUAUAAAAUCAGAUGAAUAGAAAAAGAAUCAAAUAAGUUGGAGAAAAUCGAGGUAUGGUCAAAUGCUGCCUCCCACUCACAAGGCACAGCCCUUUAUUACAAGUAACAGAAAGCUCCUUGGCCCGUGGAUGCCUCUCCUCAUGCGCCUCCUCCUCCAUGACGCCCACUACUGUAUUCUAAAAGCUCGCCCAGCCCAAGUUUGGCAAGACUCUAUGAGGGCACAGAUCUGCUAAUGGCUUCAGAACCUGUGGGUGACUUGAAAGUCACAAAUGUGGGCCCGUACAGUUCAGAUGAUAGCUUAGAACGCAGAAAUCCAAAAAAGAAUGUCACUCCCACUCUAACAAGAAAAAGCCAGACUAUAAAAUCAUAUCUUUUCUUGUAUCCAUCAGAGAACUGUGGUCACAAGGUAACCAAGGGAACUGAAUUCCAAGAGUGACAAGCCCUUCCAGGGAAAGACAGGACGUAGAAACUGUUCCAUGUCUGGCAGACCAUGGGAGGAAGAGGCCACCAUGGAAGCAGGGUUUGUUGAAAGUCAGUCCCAUCCCAGAAGAAACGGAAUGAAUGUCACUCUCUGUGGGUCUUGUUUAACUGCGGCCCUUACUUAAUACUACCAGAGAACUCUGGAGCACAACCAAACAGAUGUGACGCCCAAGAUAUACCGGGAAACUGUCAAAGAUGGCCUGAUGCCCUCUCAAAAUAAAGCUUCAUAAGGGUGUUUCCUCACAUCUAUAGGGAACAAGAUAUCUUAGGAGGAAGAAUUUACUUUUCUCAUUUUUUUAAUCCUUAAAUCUGUCAUCGCAUGGCAUUGAGGGAAAAAUGAUGACAAUCCAGGGGUAGUCAGAAGUCAGAAUGAAGCUUCCAUAGAGAUCCAGAUGCUGGCAAAGCCGCUGCCUUGGGCCACAGACACCAAAGAAAAGGAAGAAUACUAGCUCUUUCAGUCAGAAAUUUUAACAUUUCCACAAUUAUUUUAAAAUUAAAAAUUUUUAAGGAAAAAUGCUUCACUGACAAUUUAUUAUGCAAUCAUAUUAUUAUUAUUGUCUUUCUAUCUUGUCCUGCAGGGAAAACAACUUCUUCCUGGGGCAUUUUUUAAUGCAAUGGUUUAUUUGCAUAUGAAAUUAGUAUGCGUGUAUAAGAACAAUUAGACCAGGAAAACGAAAAAAAAAACCACAAAAUAAUGAAUCAUAAAAAAGGGAACAGCUUUAUACAAAAUAUUCUUUUAAGUUUCAAGCCAUUCAUGAGGCUGUACUAGUCCAGCCCUCAAUGUUGUCUCUUCUCCUACUAAUACAUAUUUAUAGUCUCUACCCUAUAAUUUAACACUUAAUUAUAGUCUUAUUCAGUUCUUUAAUUGUUUCAUGUGGGUUAGCCUUAUCUCCUCAAGUAGAAAGUGAACUUUCUGAGGAGAUGGGCCAUGUCUUACAUUCUACAACCCCUGGCUGGACCGAUGCUGGCAGUCAGAACAGUAACCCCUUUUGAUGAAGUGAUAAUUUAAAUGAUAAAGGAGUCAAUCCAACAGGAGAAUAUAACAUUUGUAAAUAUUU